rnacentral:tRNA from 2 species
GCGGACGUGGCGGAAUUGGUAGACGCACCAGAUUUAGGUUCUGGCGCCGUAAGGUGUGAGAGUUCAAGUCUCUCCGUCCGCA